rnacentral:rRNA from 1 species
AGUAACGCGUGAGGAACCUGCCUCAAAGAGGGGGACAACAGCUGGAAACGACUGCUAAUACCGCAUAAGCCCACAGCUCGGCAUCGAGCAGAGGGAAAAGGAGCAAUCCGCUUUGAGAUGGCCUCGCGUCCGAUUAGCUAGUUGGUGAGGUAACGGCCCACCAAGGCGACGAUCGGUAGCCGGACUGAGAGGUUGAACGGCCACAUUGGGACUGAGACACGGCCCAG